rnacentral:rRNA from 1 species
GAUGAACGCUGGCGGCGUGCCUAAUACAUGCAAGUCGAGCGAACAGACGAGGAGCUUGCUCCUUCGACGUUAGCGGCGGACGGGUGAGUAACACGUAGGUAACCUACCUAUAAGACUGGGAUAACUUCGGGAAACCGGAGCUAAUACCGGAUAAUAUUUCGAACCGCAUGGUUCGAUAGUGAAAGAUGGCUUUGCUAUCACUUAUAGAUGGACCUGCGCCGUAUUAGCUAGUUGGUAAGGUAACGGCUUACCAAGGCAACGAUACGUAGCCGACCUGAGAGGGUGAUCGGCCACACUGGAACUGAGACACGGUCCAGACUCCUACGGGAGGCAGCAGUAGGGAAUCUUCCGCAAUGGGAGAAAGCCUGACGGAGCAACGCCGCGUGAGUGAUGAAGGUCUUCGGAUCGUAAAACUCUGUUAUUAGGGAAGAACAAACGUGUAAGUAACUGUGCACGUCUUGACGGUACCUAAUCAGAAAGCCACGGCUAACUACGUG